rnacentral:misc_RNA from 1 species
GAUGAAGUACGUAGCGAAAUGCGAUACUUGGUGUGAAUUGCAGAAUCCCGUGAACCAUCGAGUCUUUGAACGCAAGUUGCGCCCGAAGCCAUUAGGCCGAGGGCACGCCUGCCUGGGCGUCACACGUCGUUGCCCCCCCAUCUACUCCUUCGGGAUUGCGGGGGGCGGAUGAUGGCCUCUCGUGCGCCUCGUCGCGCGGUUGGCCUAAAUGCCAAGUCCUCGGCGACGCACGCCACGACAAUCGGUGGUUGCGAAACCUCGGUUGCCUGUCGUGUGCGGUCGUCGCGCAUCGAGGGCUCGAAAAAAUUGCCGGGCUUCGGCUCGACUUUCAACGCGACCCCAGGUCAGGCGGGGUUACCCGCUGAAUUUAAGCAUAUCAAUAAGCGGAGGA